GAGAUAUAGCUCAGUUGGGAGAGCAUUUGCUUGACGUGCAAAGGGUCACAGGUUCGAGUCCUGCUAUCUCC
rnacentral:tRNA from 1 species